rnacentral:rRNA from 1 species
AUUGAACGCUGGCGGCAUGCCUUACACAUGCAAGUCGAACGGUAACAGGUCUUCGGAUGCUGACGAGUGGCGAACGGGUGAGUAAUACAUCGGAACGUGCCUAGUAGUGGGGGAUAACUACUCGAAAGAGUGGCUAAUACCGCAUGAGAUCUACGGAUGAAAGCAGGGGAUCGCAAGACCUCGUGCUAUGAGAGCGUCCGAUGGCGGAUUAGGUAGUGGGUGGGAUAAAAGCUUACCAAGCCGACGAGCUGUAGCUGGUCUGAGAGGACGAUCAGCCACACUGGGACUGAGACACGGCCCAGACUCCUACGGGAGGCAGCAGUGGGGAAUGUUGGACAAUGGGCGCAAGCCUGAUCCAGCAAUGCCGCGUGCAGGAUGAAGGCCUUCGGGUUGUAAACUGCUUUUGUACGGAACGAAAAGCCCCGGGUUAAUACCCUGGGGUCAUGACGGUACCGUAAGAAUAAGCACCGGCUAACUACGUGCCAGCCGCCGCGGUAA